AGAACUGCCCUCUCCAGGCUUCCUUCCUGACGCAGGAGCAUCAUGUCCUACUGGCUGUGCCCACCACACUCAGCACCUCUGUGCAUUGAAUUUAGCGCUUGGCAAAGGACAAAUUCCCUAGCCCAAGUGCAAGCUGGCCCUGUGCUCUCUUGCUUUGACUCACUCCUGAUCUGAAUCAGCUCCCACUCGAGCUCCUGCACUGCCUGAAGAAUAUUUGUCUGUCCGGCCUGACAGGCUGCCACCACGUAUCGAGCAUGCUCCAGGGAUUUUUCUCAGCAUCAGAAAGGACAAAUUCAGAGAGCAGCCUGAAAGAACUAUUCAGACAGCUUGGAGAGGAUGUCUGGCUGAUAUGUUCUUAGGGAGCUGAAGCGUUGGUCCCACAGUCAUUUGGGCCUUGUGUAGACCUGUGCCUUUAAAACAAACAAACUUCAAAAGGAAAAUCAAUACUUGAGGUGGAAGAGUUCAUGCAUUUCAGAGCCUCAGGUGAGCAAGAUGAUUUGUAUUUUAA